rnacentral:rRNA from 1 species
GACGAACGCUGGCGGCGUGCCUAAUACAUGCAAGUCGAGCGAGUCUGCCUUGAAUAUCGGAGUGCUUGCACUCUGUGAAACAAGAUACAGGCUAGCGGCGGACGGGUGAGUAACACGUGGGUAACCUGCCCAAGAGAUCGGGAUAACACCUGGAAACAGAUGCUAAUACCGGAUAACAACAGAUGAUGCCUAUCAACUGUUUAAAAGAUGGUUCUGCUAUCACUCUUGGAUGGACCUGCGGUGCAUUAGCUAGUUGGUAGGGUAACGGCCUACCAAGGCGAUGAUGCAUAGCCGAGUUGAGAGACUGAUCGGCCACAUUGGGACUGAGACACGGCCCAAACUCCUACGGGAGGCAGCAGUAGGGAAUCUUCCACAAUGGACGCAAGUCUGAUGGAGCAACGCCGCGUGAGUGAAGAAGGGUUUCGGCUCGUAAAGCUCUGUUGUUGGUGAAGAAGGACAGGGGUAGUAACUGACCUUUGUUUGACGGUAAUCAAUUAGAAAGUCACGGCUAACUACGUG